AACUAACGCUAUUAUUGAUACAGUUUCUGUACUUUAUUGGUAUGAGAAGCUUCCGGAAUAAUUAAUUAAUUAUUCAGGAUAAUUUUGGAACCAAACCUUC
rnacentral:misc_RNA from 1 species